UACGGGGGGGGUAAGCGUUGUUCGGAAUUACUGGGCGUAAAGGGCUCGUAGGCGGCCAACUAAGUCAUACGUGAAAUCCCUCAGCUUAACUGGGGAACUGCGUGUGAUACUGGAUGGCUUGGAUUUGGGAGAGGGAUGCGGAAUUCCAGGUGUAGCGGUGAAAUGCGUAGAUAUCUGGAGGAACCCCGGUGGCGAAGGCGGCAUCCUGGACCAAUAUUGACGCUGAGGAGCGAAAGCCAGGGGAGCAAACGGG
rnacentral:rRNA from 1 species